rnacentral:rRNA from 1 species
AGAGAGAGACAUGCGCGCAUAUCAAUAAGCGGAGGAAAAGAAACUAACUAGGAUUCCCUCAGUAACGGCGAGUGAAGCGGGAAGAGCUCAAAUUUGAAAUCUUCAAGGUUCUACCUUGACGAAUUGUAGUUUAAAGAAGUGUUUUCUGUUGGAGUUUUGGUAAAAGUUCUUUGGAAUAGGACAUCAUAGAGGGUGAGAAUCCCGUAUUUGACCAUUAUUUCCAGCUUUGUGAUACACUUUCAAAGAGUCGGAUUGUUUGGGAAUGCAGUCCAAAAUGGGUGGUAAAUUUCAUCUAAAGCUAAAUAUUGGCGAGAGACCGAUAGCGAACAAGUACCGUGAGGGAAAGAUGAAAAGAACUUUGAAAAGAGAGUUAAACAGUACGUGAAAUUGUCAAAAGGGAAGCGUUUGACACCAGUGUUGUUUUCUCGAAAAUCAAUUAAAAAAGGCAGGAUUUUGUGUUGUAUUGACUUUAUCAGCUUUCUGCACUCUUUUCUUGUCUUUUUUAAUGCACUUUUCGUUUAACAAGUCAACAUCAAUCUCUUUUGCUGUAAAAGGGUCAUUGGAAGGUGGCUUUCUUUUCGGAGAAAGUGUUUAUAGCCUUUGGCCUCUGCAAUCGGAGAGAUUGAGGUCUGCAGCGUAGAUCCUUCGGGGUUAGAUACAUUUGUGCUAAGUUAUAGCCUUUCAUAGACAACUUGUUGACUAUGAUCAGUCAUGUAGCUUACUCGCUUAUGCUAUUUUACCUACGCUUAGGAUGUUGAUGUGAUACUGCGAGCA